AGUAACGGCGAGCGAAGAGGGAAGAGCUCAAGCCGAAAAUCUCCGACGGUUGCCGUCGGCGAAUUGUAGUUUGGAGAAGUGUCUUGAACGCGUGGUCGGCCGGUCCAAGUUGCUUGGAACGGCACGUCGCAGAGGGUGACAACCCCGUCGGCGGCCGGGCGACCUGCGCCACGAAGCACUUUCGCAGAGUCGGGUUGUUUGGGAUUGCAGCCCAAAGCGGGUGGUAAACUCCAUCUAAAGCUAAAUACGAGCACGAGUCCGAUAGCGAACAAGUACCGUGAGGGAAAGAUGAAAAGCACUUUGAAAAGAGAGUUAAAGAGUACGUGAAACCGUUGAAGGGGAAACGAAUGCGACCAGCAAAGCACCGGUUGCAGAUUCACGUCUCGUUCGAUUGUCGCGGCCGGCGUGCGGAUCCGAUCGGACCGUCGUCGGUUGGUCGACAGACGAGGGGAUCGCACUUCUGCCCGAUGCGAGCCAACGUCGGUUCGUCGUCGGCGUCCCGCUUUCGAGUCAGGUACCUCGCGGUCUCGGCCGGGAGCGUUACAGGCGCGGAAGCACGGGCGUCGCGACGGACCGAGGCGACGAUUGUCGGUGGCGGCCCGCGCCCUCUUCGGGGCUAGAGGCCGACGCGGCACGUCGCGCGUCGUUGCGGGGACUGCGUGCAGUGCUCGCGUACGAUCGUGCGGGUGCCGUCGUCGCGUCUUUCGUAGGCGGGCCUCGGUCGUUGGCGGUGAAAUGGUCUCAUCCGACCCGUCUUGAAACACGGACCAAGGAGU
rnacentral:rRNA from 1 species